rnacentral:rRNA from 1 species
UACGUAGGGUGCGAGCGUUAAUCGGAAUUACUGGGCGUAAAGCGUGCGUAGGCGGUUCGCUGUGUCCGAUGUGAAAGCCCCGGGCUCAACCUGGGAAUGGCAGUGGAAACUAGGGGACUGGAAUCUGGCAGAGGGGGGGUGGAAUGCCGCGUGUAGCAGUGAAAUGCGUAGAGAUGCGGCGGAACACCGAUGGCGAAGGCAGCCCCCUGGGCUGAGAUUGACGCUCAGGCACGAAAGCGUGGGGAGCAAACAGGA